AUUAUUUUAUACGAAUUGGUAGCCUCUACCUUCAAUUGAAGGAAUUACCUUAAUUCUUUAGUGGGUACUAGAAUCUACACAGACUACAUACAGGUCCGAGUAUGGCUCGACCAACCCAUAUGCAUCUAUAGGUAUGUUCUCAAUCAAUUAUUUCUCUAAAUAAUUUUUAGUAAUUAGUUUUGCCUCAGGUUUCAUUUCAGUGUGCAAUGGGCCUCCACUGAAAGUCCUGGUUAAGUCCAACCAUUAACAUGAAUCUACUCAAUGAUCCUAACUAAUGAAUAAGCAGGCCUAAGUAUGGCUCGAUCAACCCAAUCAUUCAUCAGAUAGUACAAUAAACUCAACAUAUGAUGAAUAAUAAUUUUAUUAUUCAGAGAAACAUCAGACAGAUGGCACCUACAAUGUCAAUCAGAAAUAAUAGACCCAUUAUCAUUCACCUUAAUGGGAGGCUAUGAUCUAGUUAUCACUAUAACUAGCUCAUUUUAUGAAUCUAAUAAUUUAAAAUUUUGAUUAACAUAAUUUAUCAGAAUUAAAUACAUAAACCAACUAAUCUCAAUCCUCCUACUGACUUCACCAACUCAGAUCAGGAUGGACUAGAAAUAAGCCAGUCCAACUGAUAAGUCAUCAAUUCUCCCACUAACUUUACCAAGUCUUAUCGAGGAUAAAGAUAAGUUGAACUAGGGGCACCUAAAUCAGUCGAACUGAUUUUCUAGUAAGCAUGGGUCAACCCUAAUCAUUAAGCAAUCUGAUCAAAACUUGAUUCACCAUGUUGGCCAGAUAAGUGAGAUCGAUAGAAGAGAUAUGCCAUUAAAUCAUUAUAGACUCAAUCUAUGCGAGUAGCUCCCAAUUAAUGACCACCGAUCAAGAUUGUCAAACUUAUCUUAGACACCAACUGGUUAAUCAAUUUCAAUUGGAUCCACUUAUGGAUUUGGAUUCGACUGCUGAGCUCAAGAUCAAAGUCCAUUUGGGUCUAAUCAAAGAUAUAGACUCGAUCAACUAUAACUAUUGUAUUGGCUCUAGAGAAAUUUUGAUUUAAUCUAAUUUCUCUUUUUAGUCCAUUUGAUCUUUGAUUCUAUACCUAGGUCUAACCCAAUUAGGAGGACCUGAUCAAGCUAACCUAUAAACCCAUCACCCAC
rnacentral:lncRNA from 1 species